GCUCAGAAUGAACGCUGGCGGCAUGCCUAACACAUGCAAGUCGAACGAGACCUUCGGGUCUAGUGGCGCACGGGUGCGUAACGCGUGGGAAUCUGCCCCUUGGUUCGGAAUAACAGCGAGAAAUUGCUGCUAAUACCGGAUAAUGACGUAAGUCCAAAGAUUUAUCGCCUAGGGAUGAGCCCGCGUAGGAUUAGCUAGUUGGUGUGGUAAAGGCGCACCAAGGCGACGAUCCUUAGCUGGUCUGAGAGGAUGAUCAGCCACACUGGGACUGAGACACGGCCCAGACUCCUACGGGAGGCAGCAGUGGGGAAUAUUGGACAAUGGGCGAAAGCCUGAUCCAGCAAUGCCGCGUGAGUGAUGAAGGCCUUAGGGUUGUAAAGCUCUUUUACCCGGGAUGAUAAUGACAG
rnacentral:rRNA from 1 species